CGGCGGACGGGUGAGUAACACGUGGAUAACUUACCUAUAAGACUGGGAUAACUUCGGGAAACCGGAGCUAAUACCGGAUAAUAUAUUGAACCGCAUGGUUCAAUAGUGAAAGACGGUUUUGCUGUCACUUAUAGAUGGAUCCGCGCCGCAUUAGCUAGUUGGUAAGGUAACGGCUUACCAAGGCAACGAUGCGUAGCCGACCUGAGAGGGUGAUCGGCCACACUGGAACUGAGACACGGCCCAGACUCCUACGGGAGGCAGCAGUG
rnacentral:rRNA from 1 species